rnacentral:rRNA from 1 species
CAAGUCGAACGCGAAUAUCCCGCAAGGGAUUAGUAGAGUGGCAAACGGGUGAGUAACACGUGGGUGACCUGCCUUCGAGUGGGGGAUAACGUCCCGAAAGGGACGCUAAUACCGCAUGACAUCCUGCCUUUGAACAGGUGGAGAUCAAAGCUGGGGAUCGCAAGACCUAGCGCUUGAAGAGGGGCCCGCGUCCGAUUAGCUAGUUGGUGAGGUAAUGGCUAACCAAGGCGACGAUCGGUAGCCGGCCUGAGAGGGCGGACGGCCACACUGGGACUGAGACACGGCCCAGACUCCUACGGGAGGCAGCAGUGGGGAAUUGUUCGCAAUGGGCGCAAGCCUGACGACGCAACGCCGCGUGGAGGAUGAAGAUCUUCGGGUCGUAAACUCCUUUCGAUCGAGACGAACGACUUCCGGGCUAAUCACCGGGAGAGUGACGGUACCGAGAGAAGAAGCCCCGGCUAACUCCGUGCCAGCAGCCGCGGUAAUACGGGGGGGGCAAGCGUUGUUCGGAAUUACUGGGCGUAAAGGGCUCGUAGGUGGCCAACUAAGUCAGACGUGAAAUCCCUCGGCUUAACCGGGGAACUGCGUCUGAUACUGGAUGGCUUGAGGUUGGGAGAGGGAUGCGGAAUUCCAGGUGUAGCGGUGAAAUGCGUAGAUAUCUGGAGGAACACCGGUGGCGAAGGCGGCAUCCUGGACCAAUUCUGACGCUGAGGAGCGAAAGCCAGGGGAGCAAACGGGAUUAGAUACCCCGGUAGUCCUGGCCCUAAACGAUGAAUGCUUGGUGUGGCGGGUAUCGAUCCCUGCGUGCCGAAGCUA